CUCCAGACUCCUACGGGAGGCAGCAGUGGGGAAUAUUGCACAAUGGGGGAAACCCUGAUGCAGCGACGCCGCGUGAGUGAGGAAGUAUUUCGGUAUGUAAAGCUCUAUCAGCAGGGAAGAAAAUGACGGUACCUGACAAAGAAGCCCCGGCUAACUACGUGCCAGCAGCCGCGGUAAUACGUAGGGGGCAAGCGUUAUCCGGAUUUACUGGGUGUAAAGGGAGCGUAGACGGCAUGGCAAGUCAGAUGUGAAAGCCCGGGGCUCAACCCCGGGACUGCAUUUGAAACUGUCAGGCUGGAGUGCAGGAGAGGUAAGUGGAAUUCCUAGUGUAGCGGUGAAAUGCGUAGAUAUUAGGAGGAACACCGGCGGCGAAGGCGGCCUGCUGGACUGAAACUGACGUUGAGGCUCGAAAGCGUGGGGAGCAAACAGGAUUAGAUACCCUUGUA
rnacentral:rRNA from 1 species